GUGCUGAAGCAACAAAUGCCCUGCUUCCAGGAAAAGCCUCUAAGCAUCAGGUAACACGAAAUCGUACCCCAAACCGACACAGGUGGUCAGGUAGAGAAUACCAAGGCGCUUGAGAGAACUCGGGUGAAGGAACUAGGCAAAAUGGUGCCGUAACUUCGGGAGAAGGCACGCUGACACGUAGGUGAAGUGAUUUACUCAUGGAGCUGAAGUCAGUCGAAGAUACCAGCUGGCUGCAACUGUUUAUUAAAAACACAGCACUGUGCAAACACGAAAGUGGACGUAUACGGUGUGACGCCUGCCCGGUGCCGGAAGGUUAAUUGAUGGGGUCAGCGCAAGCGAAGCUCCUGAUCGAAGCCCCGGUAAACGGCGGCCGUAACUAUAACGGUCCUAAGGUAGCGAAAUUCCUUGUCGGGUAAGUUCCGACCUGCACGAAUGGCGUAAUGAUGGCCAGGCUGUCUCCACCCGAGACUCAGUGAAAUUGAACUCGCUGUGAAGAUGCAGUGUACCCGCGGCAAGACGGAAAGACCCCGUGAACCUUUACUAUAGCUUGACACUGAACAUUGAGCCUUGAUGUGUAGGAUAGGUGGGAGGCUUUGAAGUGUGGACGCCAGUCUGCAUGGAGCCGACCUUGAAAUACCACCCUUUAAUGUUUGAUGUUCUAACGUGGACCCGUAAUCCGGGUUGCGGACAGUGUCUGGUGGGUAGUUUGACUGGGGCGGUCUCCUCCUAAAGAGUAACGGAGGAGCACGAAGGUUGGCUAAUCCUGGUCGGACAUCAGGAGGUUAGUGCAAUGGCAUAAGCCAGCUUGACUGCGAGCGUGACGGCGCGAGCAGGUGCGAAAGCAGGUCAUAGUGAUCCGGUGGUUCUGAAUGGAAGGGCCAUCGCUCAACGGAUAAAAGGUACUCCGGGGAUAACAGGCUGAUACCGCCCAAGAGUUCAUAUCGACGGCGGUGUUUGGCACCUCGAUGUCGGCUCAUCACAUCCUGGGGCUGAAGUAGGUCCCAAGGGUAUGGCUGUUCGCCAUUUAAAGUGGUACGCGAGCUGGGUUUAGAACGUCGUGAGACAGUUCGGUCCCUAUCUGCCGUGGGCGCUGGAGAACUGAGGGGGGCUGCUCCUAGUACGAGAGGACCGGAGUGGACGCAUCACUGGUGUUCGGGUUGUCAUGCCAAUGGCACUGCCCGGUAGCUAAAUGCGGAAGAGAUAAGUGCUGAAAGCAUCUAAGCACGAAACUUGCCCCGAGAUGAGUUCUCCCUGAGACUU
rnacentral:rRNA from 1 species